GACGAACGCUGGCGGCGUGCUUAACACAUGCAAGUCGAACGGAAAGGCUCCAGCUUGCUGGAGUACUCGAGUGGCGAACGGGUGAGUAACACGUGGGUAAUCUGCCCUGCACUCUGGGAUAAGCCUGGGAAACUGGGUCUAAUACUGGAUAUGACCUUUCUCCUUAUGGGGUUUGGUGGAAAGUUUUUCGGUGUAGGAUGAGCCCGCGGCCUAUCAGCUUGCUGGUGGGGUGAUGGCCUACCAAGGCGACGACGGGUAGCCGGCCUGAGAGGGUGGUCGGCCACAUUGGGACUGAGAUACGGCCCAGACUCCUACGGGAGGCAGCAGUGGGGAAUAUUGCACAAUGGGCGGAAGCCUGAUGCAGCGACGCCGCGUGAGGGAUGACGGCCUUCGGGUUGUAAACCUCUUUCAGCAGGGACGAAGCGUAAGUGACGGUACCUGCAGAAGAAGCACCGGCUAACUAUGUG
rnacentral:rRNA from 1 species